rnacentral:lncRNA from 1 species
UUCCUUGGCAGGGCUCUCGCUCGCCGGUAGUCUGGAGUUUCGGUUUCUUGCAAAAGGAGCGUUGUGAAUGAAAUUGAGAAUAUUCCGGGAAUUGGUAACAGCCGCUGGAGGCCAGCAGGGGGUGGCAGAAGCUGAGCCACUGAGGAGUGGCACACGCCUGCGCAAACCCCACCACAAACAGCUGCGAGGAAGGAGAGCAUCUGCCCACUGCAAAGCCUCAAGAUCCUGUGAGGCCCAUUGGGUAGCUUUGGCCACAUAUCUCCCAGGGAUGUACAGAAGAGGAAGAAGGUUCGGGGAAUGGAUUGUGAUUGCGGCUGGGCUGACGAGGUGGUGACCUCAGCUAUCACUGGAAUGGGAGCACAUGGAACCCAUUGGUGCCUGAAGUGUUGCCUUUUACCGUAAGUACUUUUGUGUGUGUAGCUUAUACCAUGUUUUAUGAGAUGACUGGGUAUUUGCAUUUGUCUGACGUGUUAGUGCACACCUGUUUUCCCGUCAGUUGCCUGCCGUUUCCAGCCAACACAUACAGCCCAAUGUAAGUAAAUACGUGAGAACAGGUUCACACCAAAUAAUCUAACCUAGUUCAAAUAUUAACGAGAAUUGUGCUCUCUGCACACAUGCAAAAGUAUCAUUUUGAAACACUGAUCUUGAUAAAGGCGUCUAUCUCUGAAACGGAAACAUUGGUACCUGUGCAGGGGAGAUAGCACGCAGGUGUUAAUCCAGCAAUGUGUGUUUAGACAGUCCCAAGAGUGCAGGAGGGGAUUGCACUCGAUGGAACUUUCUCAUCUACACCAGAAAAUUACUAGGGGGUCACCCACGUCAUCGCUUCUGUUGGCCAAGCUCAUUGCACCCACCAGGGGCUCCUGGCAUCCCUCCGUUCCACCCCACCAGACCUCAGUGUGCCAUCCUCCCAAACUCUGUCUAUUUCAGGG